CACACAAGAGCAUGAGAUAGGAUCUUGGCCCUAGCCUGAUCCCUUUGUCCUGACAGAGAGUGCCUCCUCUCAAUGUCCCCGUGACUGGUUUAACCAUCAACAGAAUUGCUAUUACUUCUCCAGAACCCCCAGGAAUUGGUAUGAUGCAGAGACAACCUGCAAAUCAUUGGGAAGGGAUUCCCAUCUUGCCUCCAUCCUAAAUGAUCUUGAGAUGCGGGCUAUUUCUUCCACCCUUACAAUACGCUAUGGUGAAAUCUAUCAAGUUUGGAUUGGGUUGUACAGCAGCACUAAGGGCAAGUACCGAAUAUGGCAAUGGACAGACAAUGCUGCCGUUGACUACACACCUUGGGCACCCAACCAGCCUUCCAACUGUGGAAAAAAGCAGAACUGUGUUGAGCUGUAUAUGAAAGACUAUAUGAAAUGGAACGACGAGGACUGUGAUGUAGAGCAGCCUUUCCUCUGCAAACUGUCCCUUUACUGAGAGGGAUCAGUACCCUGUGGCUUCAACGUGUUCAGCGCCAAGGAAGAGGUGGCCUUCCCAUGUCAACCCAGUUCCUUGUGUGCAUCCCAUUCCAAGAGCUACAAACCUAUCAAAGGUCUCUGGGACAGGCUUUCU